GAUGAACGCUGGCGGCGUGCCUAAUACAUGCAAGUCGAGCGAACGGACGAGAAGCUUCCUUCUCUGAUGUUAGCGGCGGACGGGUGAGUAACACGUGGAUAACCUACUUAUAAGACUGGGAUAACUUCGGGAAACCGUAGCUAAUACCGGAUAAUCUUUUGAACCGCAUGGUUCAAAAGUGAAAGACGGUCUUGCUGUCACUUAUAGAUGGAUCCGCUCUGCAUUAGCUAGUUGGUAAGGUAACGGCUUACCAAGGCAACGAUGCACAGCCGACCUGAGAGGGUGAUCGGCCACACUGGAACUGAGACACGCUCCAGACUCCUACGGGAGGCAGCAGUAGGGAAUCUUCCGCAAUGGGCGAAAGCCUGACGGAGCAACGCCGCGUGAGUGAUGAAGGUCUUCGGAUCGUAAAACUCUGUUAUUAGGGAAGAACAUAUGUGUAAGUAACUGUGCACAUCUUGACGGUACCUAAUCAGAAAGCCACGGCUAACUACGUG
rnacentral:rRNA from 1 species